AUGCUAGAACUCCAAUCCCAACCUACCAUAGAGAGUAGUCAACCACUCUCUGAGGAUGAGAUAUGCGAUCAGGUGUUGGGUAGACGACCAGGUUACUCAAAAGGCCUUGGUUGGGGAUCCAAGCCGAAGGCCCGCAGAACGGCGAGUGCAAGCAGUUCGUCGACAUCUUGUUCGCAGUCCACAGAAAAAGAGAUUGAAUUACAAGCUAAACUUCAUGAAGCUUUGGAACGGAUUGAAGUACAAGAUAGAAAUCACCAAGCAUUAGCUUCACAAGUGGAAAGUAUGAAAAAGAUGAUAGAAGAACUAACUCGUGCACAACAGGGACCACCACAUGAUCCCUAGCUCUGCGGUUUUUAGUUGUUAAAGCCAAGCAAAGGAUGAUUUCAGGCAUUGUAGCCUAGUUAAAAAGGAAAGGCAGAGUUACUAUGUAGCGUUAUACAACGUGAAAGUCUUGUCAUCUUAUCUUGCGUCUAAAAAGGCAGUUGGCAAGCGCAUCGCUCCUUUGCGUAAAUGGCUCCGCUCAAUAGGAAAGCGAGAGCAAUACCCAGGUUGGUGAGGCCAAGCCAGGGAAGCCAGAGGGCUAGAAAGUUAAGUCAGGGGAGGAACAACCCUAAACACGAUCCACUAACAAAGGGUUUUGCAACAAGCAGUGUUUAGCGACGCAGAGAGAAAAGGGUUGUAAAGGGCUGCCUUCGAGUUAGGAUGUUAAUGACUUGAGGGGAAGAGGUUGAAGAAAGGGAUUCUAGAUUCCUAAAGACCUUAACUUGAAGAUUUUUACCUUGGCGGCAAGGUGAGAACAAGGUGCAUUGCUACACAAUGAGGCGGGUAAACCAGACGUGAAGUUAGAAAAGUUGUGCAAGACAAAGGGAGGUUGUAAGAUUAUGUCUUAAGUCUUGUUGUAAGGAAAAAUUUAAAGUUUUAUUUGAACCUUGUAAAAGUGUUAAGUUAAUAAAGAAAAGUUUUGUUUUUA